rnacentral:lncRNA from 1 species
AACAGAACUCUGGCAAGUAUUGUUCAGAUCUCAUUUCUGUCCACAUGUAGAAUCCUGACAAGUCAUAUGUGAAGCACUGGCCACCAAGAAAAGAAUUUCUACAGCUGCAGAACACUGGGUUCCAUUUUGGACAGUUGUGAGAAAGAUAUGCAUUUCUUUCAACAGAAGUCCAGAGGCACUGGAAAUAUUCUUACUAAAGAAAUGCCAAAAAUUGUGCAUAGAAGACUGUCAUCAGAAUGAUUGCUUUGGGGCAGAAAAGGCAAUUCUGGAUAAUUAGAUCUUAUGGCAGGCUUUCUUACAUCCGGUAUAUAAAGAACCAUCAGGUAUAACACCUUCACACUAUACGUCAUCUUCUCCACUGUCCUGU